rnacentral:rRNA from 1 species
AUUGAACGCUGGCGGCAGGCCUAACACAUGCAAGUCGAGCGGAUGAGAGGAGCUUGCUUCUCGAUUCAGCGGCGGACGGGUGAGUAAUGCCUAGGAAUCUGCCUGGUAGUGGGGGACAACGUUUCGAAAGGAACGCUAAUACCGCAUACGUCCUACGAGAGAAAGCAGGGGACCUUCGGGCCUUGCGCUAUCAGAUGAGCCUAGGUCGGAUUAGCUAGUUGGUGAGGUAAUGGCUCACCAAGGCGACGAUCCGUAACUGGUCUGAGAGGAUGAUCAGUCACACUGGAACUGAGACACGGUCCAGACUCCUACGGGAGGCAGCAGUGGGGAAUAUUGGACAAUGGGCGAAAGCCUGAUCCAGCCAUGCCGCGUGUGUGAAGAAGGUCUUCGGAUUGUAAAGCACUUUAAGUUGGGAGGAAGGGUUGUAGAUUAAUACUCUGCAAUUUUGACGUUACCGACAGAAUAAGCACCGGCUAACUCUGUGCCAGCCGCCGCCGUAAAAC